AUUGAACGCUGGCGGCAAGCUUAACACAUGCAAGUCGAGCGGGGGAAGGUAGCUUGCUACCGGACCUAGCGGCGGACGGGUGAGUAAUGCUUAGGAAUCUGCCUAUUAGUGGGGGACAACAUCUCGAAAGGGAUGCUAAUACCGCAUACGUCCUACGGGAGAAAGCAGGGGAUCUUCGGACCUUGCGCUAAUAGAUGAGCCUAAGUCGGAUUAGCUAGUUGGUGGGGUAAAGGCCUACCAAGGCGACGAUCUGUAGCGGGUCUGAGAGGAUGAUCCGCCACACUGGGACUGAGACACGGCCCAGACUCCUACGGGAGGCAGCAGUGGGGAAUAUUGGACAAUGGGGGGAACCCUGAUCCAGCCAUGCCGCGUGUGUGAAGAAGGCCUUAUGGUUGUAAAGCACUUUAAGCGAGGAGGAGGCUACUUUAGUUAAUACCUAGAGAUAGUGGACGUUACUCGCAGAAUAAGCACCGGCUAACUCUGUG
rnacentral:rRNA from 1 species